GACGAACGCUGGCGGCGUGCCUAAUACAUGCAAGUCGAACGGUAGCACAGAGAGCUUGCUCUCGGGUGACGAGUGGCGGACGGGUGAGUAAUGUCUGGGAAACUGCCCGAUGGAGGGGGAUAACUACUGGAAACGGUAGCUAAUACCGCAUAACGUCGCAAGACCAAAGAGGGGGACCUUCGGGCCUCUUGCCAUCGGAUGUGCCCAGAUGGGAUUAGCUUGUAGGUGAGGUAACGGCUCACCUAGGCGACGAUCCCUAGCUGGUCUGAGAGGAUGACCAGCCACACUGGAACUGAGACACGGUCCAGACUCCUACGGGAGGCAGCAGUGGGGAAUAUUGCACAAUGGGCGCAAGCCUGAUGCAGCCAUGCCGCGUGUAUGAAGAAGGCCUUCGGGUUGUAAAGUACUUUCAGCGAGGAGGAAGGCGUUAAGGUUAAUAACCUUGGUGAUUGACGUUACUCGCAGAAGAAGCACCGGCUAACUCCGUGCCAGCAGCCGCCGUAAAAC
rnacentral:rRNA from 1 species